CCUACGGGAGGCAGCAGUGAGGAAUAUUGGUCAAUGGGCUUACGCCUGAACCAGCCAAGUCGCGUGAGGGAAGACUGCCCUAUGGGUUGUAAACCUCUUUUGUCAGGGAGCAACGCCGGCUACGUGUAGCCGGACUGAGAGUACCUGAAGAAAAAGCAUCGGCUAACUCCGUGCCAGCAGCCGCGGUAAUACGGAGGAUGCGAGCGUUAUCCGGAUUUAUUGGGUUUAAAGGGUGCGUAGGCGGGGAUGCAAGCCAGGGGUGAAAGCCCGGGGCCCAACCCCGGGACUGCGUGUGGAACUGGGUGGCUGGAGUGCAGGAGGGGCAGGCGGAAUGCCUGGUGUAGCGGUGAAAUGCGUAGAUAUCAGGAGGAACACCGGUGGCGAAGGCGGCCUGCUGGACUGCAACUGACGUUGAGGCUCGAAAGCGUGGGGAGCGAACAGGAUUAGAUACCCGUGUAGUC
rnacentral:rRNA from 1 species